rnacentral:rRNA from 1 species
GACGAACGCUGGCGGCGUGCUUAACACAUGCAAGUCGAACGGGCCUUGUCCCCUUUUUUUUUGGGGGUGGGGUUAGUGGCGAACGGGUGAGUAACACGUGAGUAACCUGCCCCUCACUUCUGGAUAACCGCUUGAAAGGGUGGCUAAUACGGGGUGUUCUGGCCUGCUCGCAUGGGUGGGUUUGGAAAGAUUCGACCGGUUUUGGUUGUUUUGGUGGGGGAUGGGCUCGCGGCCUAUCAGCUUGUUGGUGGGGUGAUGGCCUGCCAAGGCUUUGACGGGUAGCCGGCCUGAGAGGGUGGGCGGUCACACUGGGACUGAGACACGGCCCAGACUCCUACGGGAGGCAGCAGUGGGGAAUAUUGCACGAUGGGCGCAAGCCUGAUGCAGCGACGCCGCGUGAGGGAUGGAGGCCUUCGGGUUGUGAACCUCUUUCGCCAGUGAAGAAGGUCCUGCUCUUUGUGGUGGGGUUGACGGUAGCUGGGUUAAUGAAGCGCCGGCUAACUACGUG